rnacentral:lncRNA from 1 species
CUUAACAUCAUGAGUCUGUAGGGAAAGGCUAAAACCACAAUAAGAUGCCACAACACAUCUAUCAGAAUGGCUGAAAUAGAAAAGAGUGAUAUUACCAACUGUCAAUGAGGACUUGGAGAACUGGAAGCAUCAUACAUAGUUGAUGGGAACAUAAAAUGGUACAGUCUCUUUGGAAAACAGUUGGGUAGUUUCUUAAAGAAAUAAACAUAAACUUAACACAUCACCCAGAAAUUCCACUCAUAGGUAUUUACUCAGGAGAAGUGGAAAUGUGUGUCUGCAUAAAGACUUGUAUGUGGGUGUUCACAGUAGCAUGACUUAUAGCAAUAAAACUAAAAACAGUCCAAAUGUAGAACGGAUAAACAAAAUGUGAUAAAUCCAUGCAGUGAAAUACUAUUCAGUGUUAAAAAAAGAACAAGCUAUUGAUACCUGCUACAACGUGGAUGACUUUAAUAACAUUAUGUUGAGUGGGAGUAUUCAGGCACAAAAGACUGCAAAUGGUAUAGUUCCACCUAUGCAAAAUUUCUGGAAAGCUGUAUACAUUUACUAAAACACUAUACUGGUACACUUAAAAUAGGUAAAUAUGGUAUGUAAAUUAUACCCAAAUAAAGCUUUUUUAAAACUGGGAGCAUAUUCUAAGUAUUGUUUGUACGUGCUUUUUUCUACUCAAAACCAUAACUCAAAGAGAGUUUCAUAUUACCACAGGAGAUGGCCCUCAUUUUUUAGUGGUUAUAUAAUGGUUCGUUGUAUGACCAUGCCCACAUUUAAGUAAUGUAAACAGCCAUGAACAAAAAGUUCUCAUUUCCCCAUUCCGUCCAAAGACCUUGUAGGCAUACAGUUUCUGCGUUCAGUUUUAAAAGCUACAAAUUCAUUCCUUCCUUGCCUCAAAAUCUCUUGAGCACCCUGUGGUGGAUGCUAAUGGUGCCUCCCUUGUCCCCUCCACACCCACUGUUCCCAUCCAUGCCAAGGGUUUCCCACUGCAGGUACCCGUGAGUCUCUUCCUGAAGUC